rnacentral:rRNA from 1 species
AACGGGUGAGUAACACGUGGGCAAUCUGCCCUUCACUCUGGGACAAGCCCUGGAAACGGGGUCUAAUACCGGAUAUGAGCCUGGGAGGCAUCUCCCGGGUUGUAAAGCUCCGGCGGUGAAGGAUGAGCCCGCGGCCUAUCAGCUUGUUGGUGAGGUAACGGCUCACCAAGGCGACGACGGGUAGCCGGCCUGAGAGGGCGACCGGCCACACUGGGACUGAGACACGGCCCAGACUCCUACGGGAGGCAGCAGUGGGGAAUAUUGCACAAUGGGCGCAAGCCUGAUGCAGCGACGCCGCGUGAGGGAUGACGGCCUUCGGGUUGUAAACCUCUUUCAGCAGGGAAGAAGCGCAAGUGACGGUACCUGCAGAAGAAGCGCCGGCUAACUACGUGCCAGCAGCCGCGGUAAUACGUAGGGCGCAAGCGUUGUCCGGAAUUAUUGGGCGUAAAGAGCUCGUAGGCGGCUUGUCACGUCGGGUGUGAAAGCCCGGGGCUUAACCCCGGGUCUGCAUUCGAUACGGGCUGGCUAGAGUGUGGUAGGGGAGAUCGGAAUUCCUGGUGUAGCGGUGAAAUGCGCAGAUAUCAGGAGGAACACCGGUGGCGAAGGCGGAUCUCUGGGCCAUUACUGACGCUGAGGAGCGAAAGCGUGGGGAGCGAACAGGAUUAGAUACCCUGGUAGUCCACGCCGUAAACGGUGGGAACUAGGUGUUGGCGACAUUCCACGUCGUCGGUGCCGCAGCUAACGCAUUAAGUUCCCCGCCUGGGGAGUA